rnacentral:rRNA from 1 species
AUUGAACGCUGGCGGCAGGCCUAACACAUGCAAGUCGAGCGAGCGGCGGACGGGCGAGUAAUGUCUGGGAAUUUGCCUGAUGGAGGGGGAUAACUACUGGAAACGGUAGCUAACACCGCAAACCAACAGAUGUGCCGAGAGGGGUUUAGCGAGUAGGUGGGGUAAUGGCCCAUCUGGGCGACGAUCCCUAGCUGGUCCGAGAGGAUGACCAGCCACACUGGAACUGAGACACGGUCCAGACUCCUACGGGAGGCAGCAGUGGGGAAUAUUGCACAAUGGGCGCAAGCCUGAUGCAGCCAUGCCGCGUGUGUGAAGAAGGCCUUCGGGUUGUAAAGCACUUUCAGCGAGGAGGCGUUACUCGCAGAAGAAGCACCGGCUAACUCCGUGCCAGCAGCCGCGGUAAUUC